rnacentral:rRNA from 2 species
GACGUUAGCGGCGGACGGGUGAGUAACACGUGGGCAACCUGCCUGUAAGACUGGGAUAACUUCGGGAAACCGAAGCUAAUACCGGAUAGGAUCUUCUCCUUCAUGGGAGAUGAUUGAAAGAUGGUUUCGGCUAUCACUUACAGAUGGGCCCGCGGUGCAUUAGCUAGUUGGUGAGGUAACGGCUCACCAAGGCAACGAUGCAUAGCCGACCUGAGAGGGUGAUCGGCCACACUGGGACUGAGACACGGCCCAGACUCCUACGGGAGGCAGCAGUGGUCAUAG